CUGCGGGGUGUCCGCGGGGAGCGGCGGCGGAGAGCGGCCCCGGGAGUGCCCCAUCGCUCCCGGCCCCACCGUCAGCCCAGUGCUGUCGCGGUGAGCCCGGCGGGCGUCCGUCGGGGGGUGUCAGCUCCCCCCGUGGUGUCCGUCAUCGGCCCGGUGUCCGCGACAAAGUCCCGGUGUGAACGGUGGCGGUAUCCUUACCUGGAAGAGAGUCUUCGCACAGAACCGUCCUCCUUACAGCAUCAGUCCAGCUGCGGGGACGCUGUUACACCGAGAGCUGUAAUGCAUGCAGCACUGAAAGACCCGAAAUCGGUGCUGAAGGACCUGAAAUCAGCAUGGAAAGACCUGAAAUCCGUGCUGAAGGACCAGGAACCAGAACAGAAAGACCUGAAUUCGAUUCUGAAAGAUCUGAAAUCAGCACGGAGAGACCUGAAAUCAGUGCUGGAAGAUCUGAAAUCAGUGCUGAUAGCUCAGGAAUCAUCACUGAAAGACCUGAAAUCAGUGCUGGAUGAGACACUCACCUCCAAUGUUGGGAUUUCCAAACUGAGACCCACUCAGCAGCAGUGCAACCGGACCCAUACACCUGACGUUUGCAAAUGCACUUCCAGCUCUGUGUUUGGCCAUGCUGCGGUGUUCCAGGUAUUUCCCUGCUCCGACAUGCAGGCAGAUGCCUGGUGUGAGUUACAAAGGGCUGUAAGCAGGUUAGGCCCCCAACACCUCUAGGCAACUACUUACAUCAUUAGGAGCCUAAAUGCCUUUAUAAGCCUACGCUGUGAUCCGGG
ensembl:lncRNA